rnacentral:rRNA from 1 species
UACGUAGGGGGCGAGCGUUAUCCGGAUUUAUUGGGCGUAAAGCGUGUGUAGGCGGUUUAUUAAGUCUAAGAUCAAAGCCCGAGGCUUAACCUCGGUUCGUCUUAGAAACUGGUAGACUUGAGUGUGGUAGAGGCAAGUGGAAUUUCUAGUGUAGCGGUUAAAUGCGUAGAUAUUAGAAGGAACACCAGUGGCGAAGGCGGCUUGCUGGGCCAUUACUGACGCUGAGACACGAAAGCGUGGGGAGCAAAUAGG